CAUGCAAGUCGAACGAAGUAGCAAUACUUAGUGGCAGACGGGUGAGUAACAUGUAGGUAUCUACCCUUUGGCCUGGAAUAACACGAGGAAACUUGUGCUAAUACUGGAUAAGUCUUUACGGAGAAAGCUUUAUGCACCAUUGGAUGAGCCUGCACUUGAUUAGUUUGUUGGUAGGGUAAUGGCCUACCAAGACUUUGAUCAAUAGCUGAUUUGAGAGGAUGAUCAGCCACAUUGGGACUGAGACACGGCCCAAACUCCUACGGGAGGCAGCAGUGGGGAAUCUUGCACAAUGGAGGAAACUCUGAUGCAGCGAUGCCGCGUGAGUGAAGAAGGCCCUUGGGUUGUAAAGCUCUUUCGUCGGGGAAGAAAAUGACUGUACCCGAAUAAGAAGGUCCGGCUAACUUCGUGCCAGCAGCCGCGGUAAUACGAAGGGACCUAGCGUAGUUCGGAAUUACUGGGCUUAAAGAGUUCGUAGGUGGUUGAAAAAGUUGGUGGUGAAAUCCCAGAGCUUAACUCUGGAACUGCCAUCAAAACUUUUCAGCUAGAGUUUGAUAGAGGAAAGCAGAAUUUCUAGUGUAGAGGUGAAAUUCGUAGAUAUUAGAAAGAAUACCAAUUGCGAAGGCAGCUUUCUGGAUCAUUACUGACACUGAGGAACGAAAGCAUGGGUAGCGAAGAGGAUUAGAUACCCUCGUAGUCCAUGCCGUAAACGAUGUGUGUUAGACGUUGGAAAUUUAUUUUCAGUGUCGCAGCGAAAGCGAUAAACACACCGCCUGGGGAGUACGACCGCAAGGUUAAAACUCAAAUGAAUUGACGGGGACCCGCACAAGUAGUGGAGCAUGUGGUUUAAUUCGAAGAUACGCGCAGAACCUUACCAACACUUGACAUGUUCGUCGCGACUUUAAGAGAUUAAAGUUUUCGGUUCGGCCGGACGAAACACAGGUGCUGCAUGGUUGUCGUCAGCUCGUGUCGUGAGAUGUUGGGUUAAGUCCCGCAACGAGCGCAACCCUCACUUUUAGUUGCCAUCAUUAAGUUGGGCACUCUGAAAGAACUGCCAGUGAUAAGCUGGAGGAAGGUGGGGAUGACGUCAAGUCCUCAUGGCCCUUACGUGUUGGGCUACACACGUGCUACAAUGGUAUCUACAACAGGAAGCAAAACGGCGACGUUAAGCAAAUCCUUAAAAGAUACCUCAGUUCGGAUUGCACUCUGCAACUCGAGUGCAUGAAGCUGGAAUUACUAGUAAUCGUGGAACAGCGUGCCACGGUGAAUGCGUUCCCGGGUCUUGUACACACCGCCCGUCACACCAUGGGAGUUGGUUCUACCUUAAGGCAAGGUUUAAUACCCUGACCA
rnacentral:rRNA from 1 species